AAAACAGUUCAGCGUUAGGUAGAAGACGUGAUUUUUCUAGAUAAACACAGGGAUAACUAUAAAAAGGGAACAGAAAAGCAUUUUGUCUUCGUUUAACGGAGUUUUCUUCCUUCAUGCUGGUUGGAGUUUACAUCCCUCCACAGGCCAACGCAAACAACGCACUGUGCGAGCUGGCUGACCAGAUUACUACCCUGGAGAGGAAAUUCCCGGACUCCUUUAUAAUUAUUCUUGGGGAUUUUAACAGAGCAAACCUAAACCACGAACUCCCUAAAUACAGACAGCAUAUAGACUGCCCCACCAGGGACAACAUCAUACUGGAUCACUGCUACACCACUCUAAAAGAUGCCUAUCGCUCUGUGCCCCGGGCAGCUUUGGGACAUUCUGAUCACUGCAUGGUCCAUCUUAUUCCAGUUUAUAGGCAAAAACUCAAACGUGCGAAGCCUGUAGUCAAAACUGUGAAGAAGUGGACUAACGCAGCAAAGCAGGAACUGCAGGACUGUUUUGACUCCACUGAUUGGACUGUUUUUGAUGCUGCAUCUGAGAUGCUGGAUGAGCUGACGGACACUGUGACAUCAUACAUCAGCUUCUGUGAAGACGUGUGUGUACCAACAAAGACCUUUUGCACAUACAACAACAAUGACCCAUGGUUCACUCCUAAACUCCAACAUCUUCGUAAGGCCAAGGAGGACGCCUACAGAAGUGGUGACAGGGCCCUGUACAAGCAAGCCAGGAACACACAGGAGAUCAAAGCAGCUAAAAGCAUCUACUCCCAGAAGCUGGAAGAACGGCUCCCAGCCAACGACCCUGCGUCAGUGUGGAGGGGCCUGCAGGAAAUCACCAGCUACAGACGCCCCCACCCACUAUUGAAGCAAACAAAGACCUGGCCAACGAGUUAAACACUUUCUACUGCAGGUUUGAGGCAGACAGACUCCCAUGCCCCACCCUCCCCUCCCCAGGGACAUUGCUUCAGACAUUGACCCCCAACACACCUUCCACCUCUCCCCCCUUCACCCUCCCCCUCCCCAAUCCAGUCUCAACGACCACCCCCACCCUCCCCAAUCCAGACUCAACGACCACCCCCACCCUCCCCAAUCCAGACUCAACGACCACCACCGCCCUCCCCAAUCAACACUCAACGACCUCCACCACACCUCUCACCCCCCUUUCCUCCUCACUGAAACUCAGAAUACACACUGAGGAUGUGAGCCGACUAUUCCAGAAACAGAAGCCCAGGAAAGCCCCCGGACCAGACGUUGUCUCACCCUCCUGCCUCAAAACCUGUGCUGAACAGCUGGCUCCCAUCUUUACUCGCAUCUUCAACAGAUCCCCAUCACAGGACUGAAUGACUACAGACCUGUCGCCUUGACGUCUGUGGUCAUGAAAUCCUUCGAACGACUGGUGUUAGCCCAUCUGAAAGACAUUACAGGCCACCAGCUGGACCCUCAACCGCCCGGGAACUUAUGCCAGGGUCCUGUUUGUGGACUUUAGUUCGGCUUUUAACACCAUUGUGCCUGAACUUCUCUCCUCCAAACUCUCCCAGCUCAGCGUGUCACCAGCUACCUGUCAGUGGAUCACCAGCUUCCUGACAGACAGAAAGCAACAAGUGAGGCUGGGGGAGAUCACCUCUGAAACCCGGUCCCUCAAGGAUGUGUCCUCUCACCCCUACUGUUCUCCCUCUACACUAAUGACUGCACCUCCAAGAACUCGGCUGUCAAACUCCUAAAGUUUGCAGAUGACCCCACCGUCAUCGGCCUCAUUCAGGAUGGUGAUGAGUCUGCAUACCGGCAGGAAGUUGAGCGGCUGGUACUCUGGUGCAGUCAGCACAAUCUGGAGCUGAACACUCUUAAGACUGUAGAGAUGACAGUGGACUUCAGGAGACAUCCCUCAACUCUGCUCCCCCUCACCAUAUCAGACAGCCCUGUGUCGACUGUGAAGAUCUUCAAGUUCCUGGGUACAACCAUCUCCCAGGACCUGAAGUGGGAGACCAACAUCAACUCCAUCCUCAAAAAGACCCAGCAGAGGAUGUACUUCCUGAGACAACUGUGGAAGUACAGUCUCCCACAGGAGCUGCUGAUCCAGUUCUACACUGGUCAUUGAGUCUGUCCUGUGCUCCUCCAUCACAGUCUGGUAUGGAGCAGCCACUAAACAGGACAGGAGCAGCCUGCAGCGGACUGUACGGGCAGCAGAAAGGAUCAUCGGCGCCCCCCUGCCCUCCAUCCAGGAUCUGUACCUCUCAAGAACCAGGAAACGGGCAGAGAAAAUCAUCACAGACCCCUCACACCCUGCACACAGACUUUUUGAUCUGCUGCCCUCUGGCAGACGGUACAGAAGCCUGCAGACCAGGACCACCCGACACAGGAACAGUUUCUUUCCCCUCGCCAUCUCCCUCCUAAACAGUUGACCUGUCACACUGCUCCCACUGCCAGACUGCAGCUGCACCUUAUGUACAUUGUGUAGUAUUCAUUCCACCUCAUUCAUUUCUGUAUUUCAUGUAUACAAGUUUAGAUUCGUUAUUUAUAGUUGGUUUACACAGCUUGUGUAUGUAUGUGUAUGCAUGUGUAAUGUAUAUAUAGACACGUGUGUGUGUGUGUGUGUGUGUGUGUGUGUGUGUGUGUGUGUGUGUGUGUGUGUGUGUGUGUGUGUGUGUGUGUGUGUGUUACAUUGCUGUGCUUGAGAG
ensembl:lncRNA